rnacentral:lncRNA from 10 species
GCCAGGGAACCAGAGAUCAGCCAGGUAGCCCAACGCCUUUUGUAAUUAUGCAAACUAGACAAUCACCAAUGGUUCACUCCAUCUGCCUUACCUUUCCUUCGGAAACCUCAAUAAAGGCAGUGGCCUAACUCUUCCCCUAGCUCCUGUCUUCUGCCUCCUGACUACCACGGUGUCUUUCCCAUGUGAACUCAGGUGGCAUUUUGUGCCUCUAGGACCUAAUGAAUACUCUAGUGAGCACUGUGGAGGUUAUACAAGGAUAGAAUGAAACUUUGAGGAGGUCCAAUCAGAAAGCUAUUAUAAUAAUCCAGGGCAGCAUGCAACUGACAAGAAGAACAACAAAGAAGGUAAUCCUUGGAAUUUCUUACAUGGAUUAUUUUCCCAAAAGUCAAGUGAACCUUGGCUGUUUAUUUGAAGAGGAAGACACCAAAAAUUUGAUUGGAGGCUCUGGAUGAGUACCAGAUUCACACCAGAUUUUGAGGUG